UGCUGCCGGCUACAACAGAGAGCCACCAUGCUAAAACCAAGAUUGCGAGGGGAGCAGUUAAAUCUCAAAAACAUUUACAAAGAUGAAAUUUUUCGUCUUUGUCCUGCUUUUACCUGGCCUGAUAGCUUUGGCUGACUGCCCAGAAUACGACAGAUCUGACGGAGUUCCAGAACAUCAGGAUCCAUCGAUUGUGGGCCGAGUGGAGGAGACGAAGUGUCCGAGGCAGGAUGGUAUCGUCUCGGUAAUUCUGACGGAUGUUUGCGGAGAAGACACUGAAGCAGGCGCGCUUUGCCGAGCGCCCCGUGGGAGAAUGACAUACUGUAGUUCGGCGGAAAUUCGGUUGUCGCUGGUGGGGCGGAGCCCCAGCGCCCCCUAUGGGCCAGCCGCCACUGCACUGAAGUAUACGAGUGGUUCUGGACGAACAAUACCAGAAGAGGUUCCUCCACAGUCCAACUGAACGUUACUGACUGAGGUGCUGCAGAUGGAGGCAACACGUCUGGAAACACUACAUUGUAAAAUCAAAGAAUGGCCAUGUCAAACUAAACUGGGCAGAAAUACAAAAGAAAUUUGAAGACUUGAAAAAGAAAAAGAAGUUUCAGAAGAUCCGAAAUCUUAACACUGAUUUUAUAAAAUGUCCGGGAAAUCUCAGUGAUUUAGUGAAGUCUGACUUGAAAUUAAAUCAACAUUUAAUCUGUGGAAAGGAAAUUACUGCUUGUUCUGAAUUUGACUCAGCAGUCAAGGAUUCGAUUUGUGAAGCUUUGUGUACAAUCUGGGAAGAAACGGUUGAAAACAACAGGUUGGAACUUAGAAUUGAAAAAUCCAAAGCAGGUUUGAACAAAUUUGCUGAAAAUUUUCCAAGACGUCAGAAUUGUUCUUCCAGAGGACUCAUACAAUUUAGUUUAGAGAAAAUACUUUCAAACCAACAUGCUACAGUCUGACUGCCACUUUUUGGAUGACAAAAACCUUUGUAGUCCAGAUGUUGUGAAACUGUUACAGUGAUCAAACUGGCCAUCUUUGAUCCAAAAACUUCCAACUUUUUUUGUUUCAUUUGUAUUUAGAUCACUAAUUACUGUAACUGAAUAUCUGUAGUUUUCU